CUUCCUCCUCCCCAGUACAGUCUUAUGGGCAUCCUGGGUUUACUGGGAUGCUCACAAGUGGCCUGGCUUCCUUCUAAAGAAGCAUCAGUUCCCUUUAUUCCUGCCAGUGAGGAAGGAAGGGAAGGGAAUUUCCGAGCUCAGAAGAAGUUUGUGAACCCCAGGACUCCUUGAGCAGAUUUGCUGAACAACUCCAUUUACAUGUUUGCAUUCCUGUUUCCAAAGUCAGCCUACGCGGAUUGCUCCGGAUCCUUGCCAAAAUGCUUGGGACUGAUCCAAGGGAAUGAUCUUGACUGCUGCAGGUCUGCAGCGAGCUGGAGCACAUGGAGUUCAGGUUCAUUGAUGUGGCUGGAGAGAACUGAUUUCAAGGCACUGCUUUGCAGAGAAUAAACUACCUGCAAGCAGGCAGAGGGCUGGC